UUGUUUAUCAAUAGGGUUGGUUUCAGUCUCUGCCUAAAGCAGUGUGAUUCUCAGUUGUUCGAAUGGAUUCAUCCUACUGAUCCUCCAAAAUCAUUUGGAUGGCAGUCUUCUGCUAAAGUUGAGCUAUUGAAGUUGCGGUUGGAUGGAUAUGAUUGGAGCACGCCAUUUAGUGUUUGCAGUGAAGGUAUGAUGCGCAUUUCUUUGAAGAAAGAUACUGGAGGUGAUCAAAUGCAGCUAAGGGUACAAGUAAGAAGUGGCACAAAGAGCUCUCGCUAUGAAGUUAUUUUCCGUCCAGACUCUUCAUCCAGUCCAUACAGGAUUGAAAAUCGUUCUAUGUUUUUACCUAUCCGUUUUCGGCAAGUUGAUGGUGCUGGUGAUUCAUGGAAGCUUCUUCUUCCUAGCACAGCUGCUUCAUUCUUGUGGGAAGAUCUUGGUCGACGGCAACUGUUGGAACUCUUUGUAGAUGGGACUGACUCGUCAAAAUCACUUAUAUACAAUAUUGAUGAGACUUCUGAUAACUUGCCCAUCCAUAUGGGUGGUGGACCUACUAGAGCUUUACGUGUUACUAUUGUGAAGGAAGACAAAAUGAAUGUUGCUAAGAUCAGUGAUUGGAUGCCAGAAAAUGAGCCUACUGCUGUCACAAGUACCGGAGUCUCUCUUCAGUCAUCACAGGUUGAAGGAAAUGAUUCUCAACAACAUCAAUUGCCAUCCACCACUGAUUGUGAAUUUCAUGUUGUUCUUGAGCUUGCUGAGCUUGGAAUAUCAGUAAUUGACCACACACCAGAAGAAAUUUUAUAUUUAUCAGUGCGGAAUCUUCUUCUGGCAUAUUCUACUGGCUUGGGAUCUGGGUUCAGUAGGUUCAAAUUGAGAAUGCAUGGAAUACAAGUGGAUAACCAGUUGCCAUUAACUCCAAUGCCAGUUCUCUUCAGGCCACAGAAAGUUGUGCAUGAGAUGGACUAUAUGUUGAAGUUUUCCAUGACACUGCAAUCAAAUGGUUCAUUAGAUCUAUGUGUUUAUCCAUAUAUUGGUUUCAGUGGACCUGACAACUCUGCUUUCUUAAUAAACAUUCAUGAACCUAUUAUCUGGCGCCUUCAUGAAAUGAUCCAGCAGGUCAAUAUCAGUAGGUUACAAGAUACUCAAACAACUGCUGUUUCAGUUGAUCCAAUCAUUCAAAUUGGUGUUCUUAGCAUCUCAGAAGUUCGAUUCAAAGUGUCAAUGGGUAUGUCACCUGGUCAACGGCCAAGAGGAGUCCUUGGUUUCUGGUCGUCCUUAAUGACUGCUUUGGGAAACACUGAAAAUAUGCCAGUGAGAAUAAACCAAAGAUUUCAUGAGAACAUAUGCAUGAGGCAGAGUGCUAUGAUUAGCAUUGCUAUUUCAAAUGUUAAAAAGGAUCUUCUCGGCCAACCUCUUCAACUGCUUUCUGGUGUUGAUAUAUUGGGCAAUGCUAGCAGUGCACUCGGACACAUGAGUAAAGGUGUUGCUGCCUUAUCAAUGGACAAGAAGUUCAUCCAAAGUCGACAAAGACAGGAGAAUAAAGGUGUAGAGGACCUUGGUGAUGUUAUCAGAGAGGGAGGUGGAGCUCUAGCAAAGGGUCUAUUUAGAGGAGUCACUGGCAUUUUGACUAAGCCUCUUGAAGGUGCAAAAACCUCUGGCGUAGAGGGUUUUGUUCAGGGUGUUGGAAAAGGGAUAAUAGGUGCAGCUGCCCAACCUGUUAGUGGGGUUCUGGAUCUCUUGUCAAAAACUACUGAAGGUGCCAAUGCUAUGAGAAUGAAAAUAGCAUCUGCUAUAACUUCAGAGGAACAACUCCUCCGCAGGAGACUGCCUCGUGUAAUUAGUGGUGAUAAUUUGCUUCGACCUUACAAUGAGUACAAAGCCCAAGGACAGGUUAUAUUGCAGCUGGCAGAAUCAGGCUCAUUUUUCAGUCAGGUUGAUCUUUUCAAAGUACGUGGGAAAUUUGCCUUAUCAGAUGCUUAUGAAGAUCAUUUUGUGCUUCCUAAAGGAAAAAUUGUCAUGGUGACCCAUCGAAGAGUAAUGUUAUUGCAACAACCCUCUAAUAUUAUUGGUCAGAGGAAGUUCAUUCCAGCAAGGGAUCCAUGUUCGGUGCUGUGGGAUGUGCUGUGGGAUGACUUGGUGACAAUGGAAUUGACUAUUGGAAAAAA
rnacentral:misc_RNA from 1 species